rnacentral:rRNA from 1 species
UACGUAGGGGCCUAGCGUUGUCCGGAAUUAUUGGGCGUAAAGAGCUCGUAGGCGGUUCGGCAAGUCGGAUGUGAAAUCUCCACGCUUAACGUGGAGGGGCCAUUCGAAACUGCUGUGACUCGAGUCCGGUAGGGGAGUGUGGAAUUCCCGAUGUAGCGGUGAAAUGCGCAGAUAUCGGGAGGAACACCAGUAGCGAAGGCGGCUCUCUGGACAGGCACUGACGCUGAGACGCGAAAGCGUGGGGAGCGAACAGG